GACGAACGCUGGCGGCGUGCUUAACACAUGCAAGUCGAACGGAAAGGCCCUGCUUGCAGGGUACUCGAGUGGCGAACGGGUGAGUAACACGUGGGUGUUCUGCCCUGCACAUCGGGAUAAGCCUGGGAAACAGGGUCUAAUACCGGGUAGGAGCCAUCUUGAGUGAGAGGGUUGGAAAGUUUGUUCGGUGUAGGAUGAGCUCGCGGCCUAUCAGCUUGUUGGUGGGGUAAUGGCCUACCAAGGCGGCGACGGGUAGGCGGCCUGAGAGGGUGGACGGCCACCUUGGGGCUUGGGUUCGGCCCAGACUCCUACGGGGGGCAGGAGUGGGGAAUAUUGCACAAUGGGCGCGAGCCUGAUGCAGCGACGCCGCGUGGGGGAUGACGGCCUUCGGGUUGUAAACUCCUUUCGCUAGGGACGAAGCUUUUUGUGACGGUACCUAGAGAAGAAGCACCGGCUAACUACGUG
rnacentral:rRNA from 1 species